AGCAGUCGCCACGGUAAUACGAAGGGUGCAAGCGUUAAUCGGAAUUGCUGGGCGUAAAGCGUGCGUAGGCGGUGAGUUAAGUCUGCUGUGAAAUCCCCGAGCUUAACUUGGGAACUGCAUUUGAAACUGGCAAGCUAGAGUCUUGUAGAGGGGGGUAGAAUUCCAGGUGUAGCGGUGAAAUGCGUAGAGAUCUGGAGGAAUACCGGUGGCGAAGGCGGCCCCCUGGACAAAGACUGACGCUCAGGUGCGAAAGCGUGGGGUGCAAACAGGAUUAGAUACCCCAGUAGUCCCUGUCUCUUAUAC
rnacentral:rRNA from 1 species